AGCAUGUGUUUAAUUCGAGGCAACGCGAGGACCUUUACUUACUUUGGACAUCCAGAGAACUUAGCAGAGAUGCUUUGGUGCUUUCGGAAACUCUGAGCCAGGGGCUGCAUGCCUGUCGUCAGCUCGUGUUGUGAAAUGUUGGUUUAAGUCCGGCAACGAGCGCAACCCUUAUCCUUAGUUGCCAGCGGUUAGGCCGGGAACUCAAAGGAGACUGCCAGUGAUAAACUGGAGGAAGGUGGGGAUGACGUCAAGUCAUCAUGGCCCUUACGAGUAGGGCUACACACGUGCUACAAUGGCGCAUACAAAGAGAAGCGACCUCGCGAGAGCAAGCGGACCUCAUAAAGUGCGUCGUAGUCCGGAUUGGAGUCUGCAACUCGACUCCAUGAAGUCGGAAUCGCUAGUAAUCGUGGAUCAGAAUGCCACGGUGAAUACGUUCCCGGGCCUUGUACACACCGCCCGUCACACCAUGGGAGUGGGUUGCAAAAGAAGUAGGUA
rnacentral:rRNA from 1 species